ensembl:lncRNA
UACCCCUCCCCCCGCCGGCCUCGCCCCGCCCCGCCGGGCCUCUGAGCCCUGCGGGCGGGCCACCUCUUGCAGGGCCGAGUUGGGGACCGCGCCCGAAGUCCCCACCCCACCAAUUUAGGCUCCCGACCGCCCGCAGGGCUGCCGGCGUCCCCUGGUGGUAGAGCAGGCCCAGACCGCCUGUACCAUCCGAGGUCCCCCAAAGAAUCUGAAGUUACAGCAGUUUCUGCCUUGUCACUAAUCUGUGCUUCAGGAGACGUCCUUGGGUAUGCUUCCCAGGACAAGCAGGCCUGCCCUUCUGAAAAGAGAACCUGGAAACCUCCCAAGGGACCCAGAUCGCACAGCGAGGAAGCAAGGUGUGGGAGUUCUAGAUUUGAGUUCAAAGCCAACUCAGGAGAGAGGCCUAGGCCCUCCUAGACUGGGCAGCAGUUUCCUACUAAAGGUGUCAGAAGAGGACACUGGAUCACUUGGAAUUGUAGUUAUGGGUAGUUAUGAACCACCAUGUGGGUGCUGGCAACCAAGCAAAAAAUGGUAUUACCCUAUGUGCUCCUGGCUCACAGCUAACCUGCUGCACCACAAGCCCAUCCCCGCUGCCGCUGAGCCUCUCAGAACCAUCUGCCCAGCUGGGAGACUUCCACAGACCUCCCCACGGUUAUGGUCGCAGUUUCUAGCUGCAUGCACAGGACCGGCUCAGACUGCAGCCUACCCGCGCCCUGAGGCCUCCUGCCCUAGAGCCGAGUAGGCCUCGGCUUUCAGCAGGGUCUGAGCAGUGGCCUUAAAACCAUGCCUCAUUUAGUGGUUGUGGCCACAAGGCCAUACACUCUCUAAGCUAAGCACAGCUGCCUUUGUGACCUCUCUCCACCGCUGCCACCAAAUGCUGCACAGACUAACUGAAUGCCUGCACCACCUGCUGGAAAACUCAUCUCCAGAAGUCAAAGGACACUCCAUGGGUAGAUACUUAAGAAGAUAAGCCAAUGAAGACCUGCCUGACAGCAAUCCCUGGACACCCUGGAAAGAAAAUGGUCUACAUCUCCUCGACUGCACUGGGAUCCAACUUGCUCCAUUUCAACUGACACUCCGGCCAGAGGUUCGGGUACUGACUUCAUUCAAGUUGAGGAUUUCAAGCAAGAUCUUCAAUUAAGCGAAUCCCAACUAACAUGGACUGGAUACGAUCCAUUCAAGACUUUCACUAUACUAACAUUUUCUUCCUACAGGACCCUACAAGGCUGUUGUCAUCCCAUUUCAGCAGGAAGUAACUUGGAGGAUGCUAUGCCCCCAUUUCCCCUAUUGUUGUCAUUUAGGAUAGUGUAUAUACCUAGUUAGGGAUAGCUUCCUAUUGUUUAUGGUUGAGAUUGGAAGGAGGUAUUCAGGCUUGGACACCUUUUUCAGAUGACUUUAGGGUUUAGUUAAAAUAGACAUAGUUAGGAUGUGACAUAAGCAGAUUGUUGUAUCUUCUUAUAUUUCACCUUUAUGAUUGUUAAUUUUGGAUACUUUACACGGUUAAGUUUUAAUCCUCUUUUAAACUAAAAGGGGAAUUGUAGGGGAUGUUAUAGCCACGCCUGCUUAGGGGCUGGCUACAGGUGUGCCUGACCACGCCUGCAAGGGCGUGGUCAGGGGGACUAGAGUGAGGGAUGCUUACUUGAUGGGCUGCUUUUGCUUUCAUCUUUGGCUUGCUGUAUGAACUGCUGCCCCACUGGCUGGCUAGGUCACUCUGUAAGUAAGGCUUUUCCCUAUUAAAUUCCCUUGUAUUUUUACCUGGC